rnacentral:rRNA from 1 species
CCUACGGGUGACAGCAGUGAGGAAUAUUGGUCAAUGGACGAGAGUCUGAACCAGCCAAGUAGCGUGAAGGAUGACUGCCCUAUGGGUUGUAAACUUCUUUUAUAUGGGAAUAAAACGUUCCACGUGUGGGAUUUUGUAUGUACCAUAUGAAUAAGGAUCGGCUAACUCCGUGCCAGCAGCCGCGGUAAUACGGAGGAUCCGAGCGUUACCCGGAUUUAUUGGGUUUAAAGGGCGCGUAGGUGGAUUGUUAAGUCAGUUGUGAAAGUUUGCGGCUCAACCAUAAAACUGCAGUUGAAACUGGCAGUCUUGAGUACAGUAGAGGUGGGCGGAAUUCGUGGUGUAGCGGUAAAAUGCGUAGAUAUCAAGAAGAAUUCCGAUUGCGAAGGCAGUUCACUGGACCACAACUGACACUGAUGCGCGAAAGUGUGGGUAUCAAACAGGAUUAGAUACCCCAGUAGUC